GGGUUGUGAGGUUAAGCGACUAAGCGUACACGGUGGAUGCCCUGGCAGUCAGAGGCGAUGAAGGACGUGCUAAUCUGCGAUAAGCGUCGGUAAGGUGAUAUGAACCGUUAUAACCGGCGAUUUCCGAAUGGGGAAACCCAGUGUGUUUCGACACACUAUCAUUAACUGAAUCCAUAGGUUAAUGAGGCGAACCGGGGGAACUGAAACAUCUAAGUACCCCGAGGAAAAGAAAUCAACCGAGAUUCCCCCAGUAGCGGCGAGCGAACGGGGAGCAGCCCAGAGCCUGAAUCAGUGUGUGUGUUAGUGGAAGCGUCUGGAAAGGCGCGCGAUACAGGGUGACAGCCCCGUACACAAAAAUGCACAUGCUGUGAGCUCGAUGAGUAGGGCGGGACACGUGGUAUCCUGUCUGAAUAUGGGGGGACCAUCCUCCAAGGCUAAAUACUCCUGACUGACCGAUAGUGAACCAGUACCGUGAGGGAAAGGCGAAAAGAACCCCGGCGAGGGGAGUGAAAAAGAACCUGA
rnacentral:rRNA from 1 species